rnacentral:rRNA from 1 species
UUAGCUUGUUGGCGGGGUAACGGCCCACCAAGGCAACGAUCAGUAGGGGUUCUGAGAGGAAGGUCCCCCACAUUGGAACUGAGACACGGUCCAAACUCCUACGGGAGGCAGCAGUGAGGAAUAUUGGUCAAUGGGCGAGAGCCUGAACCAGCCAAGUAGCGUGCAGGAUGACGGCCCUAUGGGUUGUAAACUGCUUUUAUAAGGGAAUAAAGUGAGUCUCGUGAGACUUUUUGCAUGUACCUUAUGAAUAAGGACCGGCUAAUUCCGUGCCAGCAGCCGCGGUAAUACGGAAGGUCCGGGCGUUAUCCGGAUUUAUUGGGUUUAAAGGGAGCGUAGGCCGGAGAUUAAGCGUGUUGUGAAAUGUAGACGCUCAACGUCUGCACUGCAGCGCGAACUGGUUUCCUUGAGUACGCACAAAGUGGGCGGAAUUCGUGGUGUAGCGGUGAAAUGCUUAGAUAUCACGAAGAACUCCGAUUGCGAAGGCAGCUCACUGGAGCGCAACUGACGCUGAAGCUCGAAAGUGCGGGUAUCGAACAGGAUUAGAUACCCUGGUAGUCCGCACGGUAAACGAUGGAUGCCCGCUGUUGGUCUGAAUAGGUCAGCGGCCAAGCGAAAGCAUUAAGCAUCCCACCUGGGGAGUACGCCGGCAACGGUGCAACUCAAAUGAAUUGACGGA